rnacentral:lncRNA from 1 species
AGAUGAAGAUGGUCCCCUUUUGAGACAAGCUCAAAGGAACAGAAGGUGAAGACAAAAGAAGAGAGACUUAUAGCAGCAAGAAGAAAGGGAAGAGGCACAUCAGUAAAUCUUGGAUUCUGUGAAUUCUCAUUGUUAACUGGUUUGAACUGCUGUGGAAUAGUAGAAUAUCUCAGGGAUAUUAACUCUGACGUUGCAGGAUAGAAAGUUCUGGUCUUCAUGAAUGGACCCACUAUAAAACAGAGCAGAAGGUUAUCUUAUUUUUGAAACACUCUGGCAUAACAACUUUUACAGCGGUGCCAAAUGCUGGACAACAAUGAGAGUGGCUGAGAAGACAAAUGGAAAGAAGAAAGCAAAGGAAAAGGGUUAACUUUGGCUGCCUCUUUAAGAAACUCUGCCAUUUCCAAGUGACUAUUUUAUAAUUGUCUCUGAGAUAUCAGCAGACACCACGAGUGAUGUAUAUGUAGCAUGUGAGUUGCCUGCUGUAUGUGGAAAACUGCCUAGGGAGGGAUU